GAGUCUUUGAUACCCAUCUUCUGUUCAAGCAGUGUACAUUUUAAGAAGUUUUUUAUCAUAAUUAGCAGAAAGAGCGAGGAGCUCCAGCAGUAUCUCAAUAUUUCAUCCAGCACUUGUGGGGUUUUUUUUCCCUUUUUUUUUUUUUUCCCCUUCUUAUUUUAAAGCCUACCUUAUGGUUAACUCUUUGGAUACUGGAAUCAUCAGAGAUCCAUUGCUGGCAAUGGAUGCAUGAGAACCUUCUGCUGUAAAAGGAUUAAGAGACUGUAGAAAAGCCUAACUCACUGACCUGAAAAGACUCUGUUGACUUGCCCUUUAUAAUUCCAUCUCAUCAGAUGUUUUCAGCGUAGCUGUUGUUUUCCUGUCUAAAUCCAGAGGGGUCAACACUACGGAUCCAGGAGAAAAAACACAUCAUAGCCUUAAAGAGACGAGCGCUUGUGCAAAAGGCAGCACAAUGCCUGAAGAUGUGGUUGUGCAAUAGUGUACAGGCUUUGGUCCACCACUGAUGUUUUGGACUCUUUCCUGGUAGCUCACAAGGAGAGGAUCAGAAAAUGAAGUCAUAUGGAAACUGAGCAAUGAAGAGACAGAAGAAAGGACCCCAUUUUCUAUUCUGACGAGAAUGUGAUUUCUUGCUUGCUUACCAAUCUUUUGGCUACUGUGCUUUUGCUUUAUAUAAUUCAGAUAUCCAGCAUUAUUCAUGUUGUUUGACUGGGGAAACUGAAACACAGAAUCCUAUGUAAACCAGCUUAAUUUUGGUGAGAGUGUAGCCCUCAGUCCUUUAGGUGCUGGAGGACAUCGUGGGAGCAAUUUGUCACCACAGGUCAUUGGUAGCAGGAGAGCUGGAGUUGCUGCUUGUGGUUCCCAGGCAGGGGUUACCACCAGCAUCCCCUGGGGUAGUUCACAGUACAAAGAAGUAGAGAAUCCUGAGAGGCAGGUUUAGUUUUACCAAAAGAUUAUUUUGGAAUUCAUCUAAUUAAAGGUAAAAUGGGUAAAACCUUGCUUAUAGAUCAGUGAUCCAAAUGGAGUCGUGCUGUGUGGUUCAGUAACUCAGUCUUGUGGGCCUGUUGCGUGAGUUUGAGGAAGGCAAAUUAACACCAGAGUAUCUUCCACUGGAUUAUUACCCAGAUUCACUGAUUUUUCAAGAAGUUUAUUUUUCAAAGUAAUGAGCCCCACUGUGCCUUUGAAUGAAAGAGGCACACUUUCAUAGACUUGAUUGGAGAAGGAAUGUGUUUUGCUCAUGCAAAGAUAUGUGUAGCUGCGAAUGGAAAGGAUAGAAAAAACAUUAUCUUGGUCUAAAAGCCACAAAAACGCCUCUUUGUGUGCACGUGUGCUUGUGUACCCAUGCAUAUACAAAGUUGUGUAUAAAGAAGAGUACAUGUAUAAUGUAUUUAUAGGCGAGUGUGUGUGGGAAAAUGGGUGAAUAUACAGAUUUAAAAACCUUGAAGAUGUUUAUGAAAAAUGCCAAAGAUUCUGAAGCUUAUCAUCU
rnacentral:lncRNA from 1 species